rnacentral:rRNA from 1 species
CAGCACUAAGUGGGUGGUAAACUCCAUCUAAAACUAAAUAUAACCAUGAGACCGAUAGCAAACAAGUACCGUGAGGGAAAGUUGAAAAGAACUCUGAAUAGAGAGUUAAAUAGUACGUGAAACUGCUUAGAGGUUAAGCCCGAUGAACCUGAAUAUCCGUUGUAGAAAAUUCAUCAUCAAUUUUGUGAUAUUUUUUUAAAAUAUUAUCUAAAUGGUGUGCACUUUUUCUACUUAAGGACAUUGUAAUCUGUUAAUGUUUAAAUGCGUAUUAUAAGAACAUUUACAAUAGUUUUUACAUUAUUUAAUUUAUUAAAUAUAGUUUAAAUGUAAAUGCUUCGAAUAUGCCAUUGACAGAUUUUUACAUAUAUUGCACUUAAAUCUUUUCGAAGAUUUUAUAAUAAUAUGAUUAUCAUUGAUUUUUGUAUUUAUUAUAUGUGCAUAUAUGAUUGACAAUGCGAAAGAUUCAGGAUACCUUCGGGACCC